rnacentral:rRNA from 1 species
AAACCAACAGGGAUUGCCCCAGUAACGGCGAGUGAAGCGGCAAAAACUCAAAUUUGAAAUCCUGCGGGAAUUGUAAUUUGAAGGUUUCGUGGUCUGAGUCGGCCGCGCCCAAGUCCAUUGGAACAUGGCGCCUGGGAGGGUGAGAGCCCCGUAUGGCGCACGCCGACUCUUUGUACACCGCGGCUCCGACGAGUCGAGUUGUUUGGGAAUGCAGCUCUAAGUGGGUGGUAAAUUCCAUCUAAAGCUAAAUAUUGGCGAGAGACCGAUAGCGAACAAGUACAGUGAUGGAAAGAUGAAAAGCACUUUGAAAAGAGAGUGAAACAGCACGUGAAUUUGUUGAAAGGGAAGGGCUUGCAAGCAGACACGGUUUUACCGGGCCAGCGUCGAAAAGGGGGGAGGAACAAGAACUCGAGAAUGUGGCGCGCACCUUCGGGCGCGCGUGUUAUAGCUCGUGUUGACGCCUCCAUCCCUUUUCGAGGCCUGCGAUUCUAGGACGCUGGCGUAAUGGUUGCAAGCCGC